UACGGGGGGGCAAGCGGUUGUUCGGAAUUACUGGGCGUAAAGGGCUCGUAGGCGGCCAACUAAGUCGGAUGUGAAAUCCCAGGCUUAACCUGGGAACUGCAUCCGAUACUGGAUGGCUUGAAUCCGGGAGAGGGUGCAGAAUUCCAGGUGUAGCGGUGAAAUGCGUAGAUAUCUGGAGGAAUACCGGUGCGAAGGCGGCAUCCUGGACCGGCAUUGACGCUGAUGAGCGAAAGCUAGGGGAGCAAACGGGAUUAAGAAACCCU
rnacentral:rRNA from 1 species